rnacentral:rRNA from 1 species
AACGAACGCUGGCGGCAGGCCUAACACAUGCAAGUCGAACGGGGCAGCAAUGCCUAGUGGCGGACGGGUGAGGAAUACGUAGGAAUCUGCCCUUAAGUGGGGGAUAACCAGGGGAAACCCUGACUAAUACCGCAUGAUCUCUUCGGAGCAAAGAGGGGGACCGCAAGGCCUCUCGCUUCUGGAUGAGCCUACGUCUGAUUAGCUAGUUGGUAGGGUAAAGGCCUACCAAGGCGACGAUCAGUAACUGGUCUGAGAGGAUGAUCAGUCACACCGGAACUGAGACACGGUCCGGACUCCUACGGGAGGCAGCAGUGGGGAAUAUUGGACAAUGGGCGCAAGCCUGAUCCAGCAAUGCCGCGUGUGUGAAGAAGGCCUUCGGGUUGUAAAGCACUUUAGCCUGGAAAGAAAAAACUUUGGUUAACACCCAAAGUCUUGACGGUACCAGGAGAAUAAGCACCGGCUAACUCUGUGCCAGCCGCCGCAGUAACAC